CCCUCACCCAAGAGGCCCAAGCGGCACUAAGCCAAGAGGUCACGAUAGAAGAAAUGGCGUUGGCAGUGGGACCCCUCAAACCAAACAAAAGCCCAGGGCCGGAUGGUUACACAGCCCUAUACUAUAAGGAGUUUGGCCCACUGCUCCUCACGCACCUAUGCAAGGUCUUUAACGCAGCACUCAAGGGGGAGAACCUCCCAC